rnacentral:rRNA from 1 species
GAACCUGCGGAAGGAUCCAUUAAAUUAAACGCGAAUAGUCGGGCCUCACCACCACCCCUUUCUGGGGGUGGCAUCCUGGGUGGCCCGGCGUCCUUUUGAUUAUAUCCCAUCUGUGAACUUUCCACUUGCCGCUUGCCGAGMGCCUGGACUNAUGCUCUACAUUGGGAGNNGGACUCACCAACCCAUGCGAACAUACCCACGKGGCCUCGGCGSGGGCCUAAACCCCCCCCGCCGAUGGCCCAGUAAACUCUGUUUUAUUCUGAAAUUCUGAAUCUUAAAGCAAAUAAGUUAAAACUUUCAACAACGGAUCUCUUGGUUCUGGCAUCGAUGAAGAACGCAGCGAAAUGCGAUAAGUAAUGUGAAUUGCAGAAUUCAGUGAAUCAUCGAAUCUUUGAACGCACAUUGCGCCCAUUAGUAUUCUAGUGGGCAUGCCUGUUCGAGCGUCAUUAAUACCAUUAAGCCCUGUAGCUUAGCGUUGGGAGCCUGCGGCUGCAGCUCCUCAAAACUAGUGGCGGAGUCAGCGUAUACUCUAGGCGUAGUAAUAACCCACUCGCUUCUGCGUUGCGCUGGCGCCUGCCGUAAAACAACCCAUUUCUAAAGGUUGACCUCGGAUCA